rnacentral:misc_RNA from 1 species
AAAAAUAAAUAAAUAAAUAAAAAUAAAAAAAUAAAGAUUCUACAUUAGCAAUUAAUGAUAACAAUGACCUGCACAAAUAAAACAUAUGUUUUUGUAAUGUAGCUGAGGCACCUUUGUUAUCCAUCUUAUUCUUAAGGACUAAAUGCAAAUGCAUUUAUGAGAACAUGUCAAAAAGAUACGAGAACAAUCACAUUGUUCAUAUUG